rnacentral:rRNA from 1 species
AUUGAACGCUGGCGGCAGGCUUAACACAUGCAAGUCGAACGAGGGGCGGAAGGGUGAGACACGCUGGGGAAUCUGGUAUAUGGCUGGGGAUAACUAUGGGGAACGGUACAUAAUACCGCGAACCAGAGGCUGAGCCCUAGUGGGCUUGGGUAGUUGGUGAGGUAUAGGCUCACAAAGCCGUAGAUCUCUAGCUGGUCUGAGAGGAUGAACAGCCACACUGGGACUGAGACACGGCCCAGACUCCUACGGGAGGCAGCAGUAGGGAAUAUUGCGCAAUGGGGGCAACCUGACGCAGCCAUGCCGCGUGAAUGAAGAAGGCCUUCGGGUUGUAAAGUUCUUUCGGUAGCGAGGCGUUAACUACAGAAGAAGCACCGGCUAACUCCGUGCCAGCAGCCGCGGUAAUUC